rnacentral:rRNA from 1 species
AUUGAACGCUGGCGGCAGGCCUAACACAUGCAAGUCGAACGAGUGGCGGACGGGUGAGUAAUGUAUGGGAAACUGCCUGGUGGAGGGGGAUAACUACUGGAAAGGGUAGCUAAUACCGCAUACCAUCAGAUGUGCCCAUAUGGGAUUAGCUAGUUGGUGGGGUAAAGGCUCACCAAGGCAACGAUCCCUAGCUGGUCUGAGAGGAUGACCAGCCACACUGGGACUGAGACACGGCCCAGACUCCUACGUGAGGCAGCAGUGGGGAAUAUUGGACAAUGGGCGAAAGCCUGAUGCAGCCAUGCCGCGUGUAUGAAGAAGGCCUUCGGGUUGUAAAGUACUUUCGGCAGAGAAGCGUUAUCUGCAGAAUAAGCACCGGCUAACUACGUGCCAGCCGCCGCGGUAAUAC